rnacentral:rRNA from 1 species
CGCCUGGGGAGUACGGCCGCAAGGUUAAAACUCAAAUGAAUUGACGGGGGCCCGCACAAGCGGUGGAGCAUGUGGUUUAAUUCGAUGCAACGCGAAGAACCUUACCUGGUCUUGACAUCCACAGAACUUUCCAGAGAUGGAUUGGUGCCUUCGGGAACUGUGAGACAGGUGCUGCAUGGCUGUCGUCAGCUCGUGUUGUGAAAUGUUGGGUUAAGUCCCGCAACGAGCGCAACCCUUAUCCUUUGUUGCCAGCGGUUAGGCCGGGAACUCAAAGGAGACUGCCAGUGAUAAACUGGAGGAAGGUGGGGAUGACGUCAAGUCAUCAUGGCCCUUACGACCAGGGCUACACACGUGCUACAAUGGCAUAUACAAAGAGAAGCGACCUCGCGAGAGCAAGCGGACCUCAUAAAGUAUGUCGUAGUCCGGAUUGGAGUCUGCAACUCGACUCCAUGAAGUCGGAAUCGCUAGUAAUCGUAGAUCAGAAUGCUACGGUGAAUACGUUCCCGGGCCUUGUACACACCGCCCGUCACACCAUGGGAGUGGGUUGCAAAAGAAGUAGGUAGCUUAACCUUCGGGAGGGCGCUUACCACUUUGUGAUUCAUGACUGGGGUGAAGUCGUAACAAGGUAACCGUAGGGGAACCUGCGGUUGGAUCACCUCCUUACCUUAAAGAA